GGGCGUAUAGCUCAGUUGGAUAGAGCGUUGGCCUCCGGAGCCAAAGGCCUCAGGUUCGAACCCUGUUACGCCCA
rnacentral:tRNA from 3 species